UGGGAUGUAGCUCAGUGGCAAAGCGCUUGCCUAGCAAGUGCAAUAUCCUGGGUUUGAUCCCCAGUAUCAAAA
rnacentral:tRNA from 1 species